GCCACCUUAGCUCAGUUGAUAGAGCAGCUGAUUUGUAAUCUGCAGGUCCUCGGUUUGAGUCCGAGAGGUGGC
rnacentral:tRNA from 1 species